AUGCAUGCAAGUCGAGCGAUGAGACUCCUACGGGAGCACAUCAGCGGCAGACGGGUGAGUAACACGUAGAUGACGUACCCUCACCACGGCGAUAAUGAAUGGAGACAUGCUCUUGCCCUAAUACCGGAUGACCUUAAGAUGUCAGAAUGGUAAGGAAAGCUACGGCGCUUGAGGAGCGGUCUGCGGCCCAUCAGCUAGUUGGUAGGGUAAAGGCCUACCAAGGCGAAGACGGGUAGGGGGUGUGAGAGCACGGCCCCCCACAAUGGGACUGAGACACGGCCCAUACUCCUACGGGCAGGCAGCAGCAGGGAAUAUUGUGCACAAUGGACAGAAAUCUGUGGUGCAGCGACGCCGCGUGAGUGAAGAAGGCCCUUCGGGUUGUAAAACUCUUUUGAGGGGGAAGAGCGAGGACGGUACCCCUGGAAUAAGCGUCGGCUAACUACGCGCCAGCAGCCGCGGUAAGACGUAGGACGCGAGCGUUAUCCGGAUUUACUGGGCGUAAAGCGUCCUGUAGGCGGAUGUGUAAGUUGGGCGUGAAAGCUCCGGGCUAACCCGGGAGAGGCCGUUCAAUACUGCAUAACUUGAGGGUGUCAGAGGGGAGCGGAAUUCCCGGUGUAGCGGUAAAAUGCGCAGAGAUCGGGAGGAACACCAGUGGCGGAGGCGGUUCCCUGGGGCACACCUGACGCUGAGAGACGAAAGCUAGGGGAGCGAACAGGAUUAGAGACCCUGGUAGUCCUAGCCCUAAACGAUGAAUGCUAGGUGUGGGAUCGAAUGGUUCCGUGCCGGAGCGAACGCGAUAAGCAUUCCGCCUGGGGAGUACGGCCGCAAGGUUAAAACUCAAACGAAUUGACGGGGCNCCGCACAAGCAGCGGAGCGUGUGGUUUAAUUCGAUGCUACACGAAGAACCUUACCUGGGUUUGACAUGUAGGUGGUAGUGAAUCGAAAGGUGAACGACCCUUCGGGGAGCCUACACAGGUGCUGCAUAGCUGUCGUCAGCUCGUGCCGUGAGGUGUCGGGUUAAGUCCCGUAACGAGCGCAACCCUUGCUCCUAGUUACAAGUGUCUAGGGGGACUGCCGGCGGAAAGCCGGAGGAAGGUGGGGAUGACGUCAAGUCAGCAUGGCCCUUAUAUCCAGGGCUACACACACGCUACAAUGGUCGGUACAAAGGGCAGCGAAACCGCGAGGCGGAGCGAAUCCGAGAAAAGCCGGUCGUAGUUCGGAUAGCAGGCUGCAACCCGCCUGCUUGAAGCUGGAGUUGCUAGUAACCGCGCGUCAGCCAUAGCGCGGUGAAUACUUCCCGGGGCU
rnacentral:rRNA from 1 species